ensembl:snRNA U1 U1 spliceosomal RNA
AUGCCACCCUGGCAGGGGAGAGGCCAUGAUCAGGAAGGUGGUUUUCCCAGGGCGAGGCUCACCCAUUGCACUGUAGGUGUGUUGACCCCUGCGAUUUCCCCAAAUGCAGGAAGCUUGACUGCGUAAUUUGUGGUACUGGGGGACUGCGCUCUCCCCGG